rnacentral:rRNA from 1 species
GAUGAACGCUGGCGGCGUGCCUAAUACAUGCAAGUCGAGCGAACAGACGAGGAGCUUGCUCCUCUGACGUUAGCGGCGGACGGGUGAGUAACACGUGGAUAACCUACCUAUAAGACUGGGAUAACUUCGGGAAACCGGAGCUAAUACCGGAUAACAUGUUGAACCGCAUGGUUCAACAGUGAAAGACGGUUUUGCUGUCACUUAUAGAUGGAUCCGCGCCGCAUUAGCUAGUUGGUAAGGUAACGGCUUACCAAGGCAACGAUGCGUAGCCGACCUGAGAGGGUGAUCGGCCACACUGGAACUGAGACACGGUCCAGACUCCUGCGGGAGGCAGCAGUAGGGAAUCUUCCGCAAUGGGCGAAAGCCUGACGGAGCAACGCCGCGUGAGUGAAGAAGGUCUUCGGAUCGUAAAACUCUGUUAUUAGGGAAGAACAAAUGUGUAAGUAACUAUGCACGUCUUGACGGUACCUAAUCAGAAAGCCACGGCUAACUACGUG